UACGUAGGGAGCGAGCGUUGUCCGGAUUCAUUGGGCGUAAAGAGCUCGUAGGCGGUCUGUCGCGUCGGCUGUGAAAACUCGGGGCUCAACUCCGAGCUUGCAGUCGAUACGGGCAGGCUAGAGUUCGGCAGGGGAGACUGGAAUUCCUGGUGUAGCGGUGAAAUGCGCAGAUAUCAGGAGGAACACCGGUGGCGAAGGCGGGUCUCUGGGCCGAUACUGACGCUGAGGAGCGAAAGCGUGGGGAGCGAACAGG
rnacentral:rRNA from 1 species